AAUAAAUAUCAAUACCUUACUCAAAUAGAAAUUGGUGAUGCAAACAAGUUGAUAAUUUAAUUGGAGAAAAGUUGGUAAUCACUCUAAUAGACAUUGACAAUUUCUAAAAAAAUUAGCAAAUUCAAAAGGUUGACAAACAAGGCAAAUAAAAGUAGUAAUUCAAUAGAAAAUUAGUAAAUUAACAAAAUAGUAAUAAAUGGUAGUUACAAGCAAUCAAAUGAUACUUGGUAAUCCAAAACCAGUUGGCAUCUCAACUGGAGAAUAGGGAAACACUCAAAUAAAGGUUGGUAAUUUUUUAUAGUAAGUUGGUAAUUUAAAAAAAAAAAAAAAGUUACAAACAUUAGUAACUAACUUAAAGAAGGGGUGGUGACACAAAACUUGGUAACUUAACUGGGUAAAAGUUUGUAACAACACUAAUGAACAUUAGUACUUUCUAAAAAGAGUUGGUGAAUGGAACGGGUUGGUAAGCAAGACAAAUAAUAAGUUGUUAAUUCAAUAGAAAAGUUGGUAAAUUUAAAAUAAAUAAAUAACCAUUAAUAAGUAACUUAAAUGAGACUUGAUAUAUUUAAACUAACUUGAAACCUAAUGAGAGAAGAACUGAUAACUCACAAAUAAAGGUUGGUAGGUUCUUAUGAGAGACAUUUAUAAAAUAGACAAAUAAGGAAUAAAUAAACGUUAAUAUGGGUGAAUAAUUAGGCUAAAUAUAGUAACACCAAUUGUUCACGUUUAUCAGAUAGUAGCCCCUGCAACUGGUCUAAUGGGUAAAAAAAAACCGUGUUAUUCCCUUCACAUAAUUUGAUUGUUUGUGUUUGUAGGUAAUGUGGGUGGAGACAACCCACCUCAUUCCCCAGGCUGCUAAUGGAGGUUAGCUUUAUCGUUCGGGACUACGGAAGGUGCCGCCGAGGAUAUUCAAUAACUUAGGGGUGAUCACUUGUAAUAUGGAUAAUUUUGAAUGUCAAAUGUUAUUGUUCUUUUCAAUAUUUACUAAAGGAAGCUAUAUUAUUGUGGUCAUUUAUUUAUUUUUUAUA